rnacentral:tRNA from 1 species
AGAGUAAUAGUUUAAUUAAAACAAUAAGUUGCAAACUUAUAAUUGGCAAUUGCCUUACUCAU